rnacentral:rRNA from 1 species
AAUGAACGCUGGCGGCGUGCCUAACACAUGCAAGUCGAACGAGAAAGCCAGCAAUGGUGAGUACAGUGGCGCACGGGUGAGUAAUACAUAGGAAUCUGCCUCUGAGUGGAGAAUACCCUAGAGAGAUUUAGGUUAAUACUGCAUAAGCCCGAAAGGGGAAAGGUGGCCUCAAGCUGCCGCUGAGAGAUGAGCCUAUGGCCUAUUAGCUUGUUGGUGAGGUAAAAGCUCACCAAGGCGACGAUGCGUAGCCGACCUGAGAGGGUGAUCGGCCACACUGGGACUGAGACACGGCCCAGACUCCUACGGGAGGCAGCAGUAGGGAAUCUUCCGCAAUGGACGCAAGUCUGACGGAGCAACGCCGCGUGAGUGAGGAAGGGUUUCGGCUCGUAAAACUCUGUUGUUAAGGAAGAACGCCGGUGAUUUAACUGAUCACCGGGUGACGGUACUUAACCAGAAAGCCACGGCUAACUACGUGCCAGCCGCCGCAGUAACAC